UUAUAUUCUGUAGCAAGGUUAACCGAAUAGGGGAGCCGAAGGGAAACCGAGUCUUAACUGGGCGUUAAGUUGCAGGGUAUAGACCCGAAACCCGGUGAUCUAGCCAUGGGCAGGUUGAAGGUUGGGUAACACUAACUGGAGGACCGAACCGACUAAUGUUGAAAAAUUAGCGGAUGACUUGUGGCUGGGGGUGAAAGGCCAAUCAAACCGGGAGAUAGCUGGUUCUCCCCGAAAGCUAUUUAGGUAGCGCCUCGUGAAUUCAUCUCCGGGGGUAGAGCACUGUUUCGGCAAGGGGGUCAUCCCGACUUACCAACCCGAUGCAAACUGCGAAUACCGGAGAAUGUUAUCACGGGAGACACACGGCGGGUGCUAACGUCCGUCGUGAAGAGGGAAACAACCCAGACCGCCAGCUAAGGUCCCAAAGUCAUGGUUAAGUGGGAAACGAUGUGGGAAGGCCCAGACAGCCAGGAUGUUGGCUUAGAAGCAGCCAUCAUUUAAAGAAAGCGUAAUAGCUCACUGGUCGAGUCGGCCUGCGCGGAAGAUGUAACGGGGCUAAACCAUGCACCGAAGCUGCGGCAGCGACGCUGAUGCGUUGUUGGGUA
rnacentral:rRNA from 1 species